AUGAGAAUUCUAAGGUGAGCGAGCGAACUCUCGUUAAGGAACUCGGCAAAAUGACCCCGUAACUUCGGGAGAAGGGGUGCUCUUUAGGGUUAACGCCCAGAAGAGCCGCAGUGAAUAGGCCCAAGCGACUGUUUAUCAAAAACACAGGUCUCUGCUAAACCGUAAGGUGAUGUAUAGGGGCUGACGCCUGCCCGGUGCUGGAAGGUUAAGAGGAGUGGUUAGCUUCUGCGAAGCUACGAAUCGAAGCCCCAGUAAACGGCGGCCGUAACUAUAACGGUCCUAAGGUAGCGAAAUUCCUUGUCGGGUAAGUUCCGACCCGCACGAAAGGCGUAACGAUUUGGGCACUGUCUCAACGAGAGACUCGGUGAAAUCAUAGUACCUGUGAAGAUGCAGGUUACCCGCGACAGGACGGAAAGACCCCGUGGAGCUUUACUGUAGCCUGAUAUUGAAAUUCGGCACAGCUUGUACAGGAUAGGUAGGAGCCUUUGAAACGUGAGCGCUAGCUUACGUGGAGGCGCUGGUGGGAUACUACCCUAGCU
rnacentral:rRNA from 1 species